rnacentral:rRNA from 1 species
GAGUUUGAUCUUGGCUCAGAACGAACGCUGGCGGCAGGCUUAACACAUGCAAGUCGAACGCCCCGCAAGGGGAGUGGCAGACGGGUGAGUAACACGUGGGAAUGUACCCCAAGUACGGAUAUUCUCGGGAAACUGAGGGCAAUACCGUAUGUGACCGAAAGGUGAAAGAUUUAUCGCCUUGGGAUCAGCCCGCGUUGGAUUAGCCAGUUGGUGGGGUAAAAGCCUACCAAGGCGACGAUCCAUAGCUGGUCUGAGAGGACGACCAGCCACACUGGGACUGAGACACGGCCCAGACUCCUACGGGAGGCAGCAGUGGGGGAAUCUUGGACAAUGGGCGCAAGCCUGAUCCAGCCAUGCCGCGUGAGUGAUGAAGGCCUUAGGGUUGUAAAAACUCUUUCGUCAGGGACGAUAAUGACGGUACCUGAAGAAGAAGCCCCGGCUAACUUCGUGCCAGCAGCCGCGGU